rnacentral:rRNA from 1 species
CCUACGGGUGGCUGCAGUGAGGAAUAUUGGUCAAUGGCCGCAGGGCUGAACCAGCCAAGUCGCGUGAGGGAUGACGGUCCUAUGGAUUGUAAACCUCUUUUGUCAGGGAGCAAAGGGUGCCACGUGUGGCGUUUUGCGAGUACCCGAAGAAAAAGCAUCGGCUAACUCCGUGCCAGCAGCCGCGGUAAUACGGGGGAUUCGAGCGUUAUCCGGAGUUCUUGGGUUUAUAGGGUGCGCAGGCGGAAUGUCAAGUCAGCGGUAAAAUUUCGGGGCUCAACCCCGUCGUGCCGUUGAAACUGGCGUUCUUGAGUGAGCGAGAGGUAUGCGGAAUGCGUGGUGUAGCGGUGGAAUGCAUAGAUAUCACGAAGAACACC